rnacentral:lncRNA from 1 species
GUGGUGUGUGGGCGUCGAGGGCGCUAGCGGUAAAGUUUUGGGUUGUUGUUUUUGCAACUGCUGUGAAGUGCUUCCUUUUAUACGUAAAUGUAUUCUUUUGUAGUAGGCCUGUGUAUGCAGGGUGGCACAAUCACAAGUUAUAAAUGCUUUAAUUUUUUGUUUUUUUAGUUUUAUCUUUUUCAUCUUGUCAGAGUUUAUAGAAGAUGCUUGGGAAAUUUUAGCAUGGAAAAAUUCUUCUCAGUGAAACAUGCCAAAAUCAUUUGAAUUUUUUUAUUUUGAAAAUUAUCAUUUCAAUUAUUUUAAUGUAAUGAACCUAUUGUCAUCAUUUUCCUGUUUGAAUACUGCCAUCAAGAUUAUUUCUCUCUUAGUAAAAUGUUUUCAGCAGCAAGGUGUAAUAAUUAGUAGUCUUCUGGCCCAAGGAAAAUCAUGUUCAGUCAGAAAUGCAAAUAAUAUUCAACACAUGGGAGUGUUAAGAGAAUCCUGAAACAUCCACCUGAAGACAUUCCAAUAAGUUGUCAACAUCUCAGGAUUUUAGGAAAUGAUUUAUACACAAGUCCAUAGAAGGUAUUAUUAAGUGUAAGAGCUGAAACCAGUGAAUCCUUAGGACUGUCUCAUUUUAUUUAAUCUGAAUUCAAGAAUUAAACAAAAAAAGAAAAGUUUAUUCAUAAACUGAUAGGGAUUAAGCUAAUUUUCAUCUUAAUUAAGCAUUCAAUCUGGUGCAGUGUUAUUUCUGAGAGGGUAAUACUAGCCCAUACUACUAUGGAAAAGAAUACAGGGGCAAAACUAAAGUAACUGGCUGCCAAUAUGAGGCCAUGGUUCAAAAUGUUUUGAUGCUUACUGUUGAGAACAAUCUGGAGAUGUGAUUCCAAUGAGAUAGGGCCACUAUUCAUACUGGUAGUCAUUAGGACACUUCUAUCAAAAAUUUUUGAUUAAAUGCAUUAUUUCCAGAAAUUCUGGAUUUAAUUGGCCCCAUGCUCAGUAGAUCUGACAUUGAUUUGAUUAUACCUCUAUUAAUUCCCUGAUUAUUUUCUUUUGGUGUUAAAGGAGAGAAUUGAUAUCAGCAAGCCUACAAUGAUCCAGCAGUUUAAAAAAUAACAUCAGAGCGGAAAUGCUGGAUAUAGAACAGAUACUCUGAGAAAUAUAAUGGAAAAAGUUUCUUGAAAGAGCCAAAUUUUGUGAGGCAGAAAAUGGUUGUUAUUUACAGAAUAUAAUUUUUCAUAAUUUUUUAAAAAAUUUAUUUUAUAAACAUUAUUUGCAAAAAAAAUAGUUAAUAUUUUAAACUGUGCCACCUUGUGCAGUCUUCUAUAAUUAUGUAACUAUAAUAGAUUAAUAUUCAAG